rnacentral:rRNA from 1 species
AGAGUUUGAUCAUGGCUCAGAAUCAACGCUGGCGGCGUGCCUAACACAUGCAAGUCGAACGAGAAAGUGGAGCAAUCCAUGAGUAAAGUGGCGCACGGGUGAGUAACACGUGACUAACCUACCCUUGAGUGGGGGAUAACCUAGGGAAACCUGGGCUAAUACCGCAUAAUACCUUCGGGUCAAAGGAGCAAUUCGCUCUGGGAGGGGGUCGCGGCCGAUUAGUUAGUUGGCGGGGUAAUGGCCCACCAAGACGAUGAUCGGUAUCCGGCCUGAGAGGGCGCACGGACACACUGGAACUGAAACACGGUCCAGACUCCUACGGGAGGCAGCAGUGGGGAAUUUUGCGCAAUGGGGGAAACCCUGACGCAGCAACGCCGCGUGGAGGAUGAAGUCCUUCGGGACGUAAACUCCUUUCGAUCGGGACGAUAAUGACGGUACCGGAAGAAGAAGCCCCGGCUAACUUCGUGCCAGCAGCCGCGGUAAUACGAGGGGGGCGAGCGUUGUUCGGAAUUAUUGGGCGUAAAGGGUGCGUAGGCGGUUUGGUAAGUCUUAUGUGAAAUCUAUGGGCUCAACUCAUAGACUGCAUGAGAAACUGCCGGGCUUGAGUGUGGGAGAGGUGAGUG